AGAGGGUGUCCGGCCACACUGGGACUGAGAUACGGCCCAGACUCCUACGGGAGGCAGCAGUGGGGAAUAUUGCACAAUGGGCGCAAGCCUGAUGCAGCGACGCCGCGUGGGGGAUGACGGCCUUCGGGUUGUAAACCUCUUUCACCAUCGGCGAAGCCUCUGGGUGUUCUCAGGGGUGACGGUAGGUGGAGAAGAAGCACCGGCCAACUACGUGCCAGCAGCCGCGGUAAUACGUAGGGUGCGAGCGUUGUCCGGAAUUACUGGGCGUAAAGAGCUCGUAGGUGGUUUGUCGCGUUGUCCGUGAAAUUCCCUGGCUUAACUGGGGGCGUGCGGGCGAUACGGGCAGACUGGAGUACUGCAGGGGAGACUGGAAUUCCUGGUGUAGCGGUGGAAUGCGCAGAUAUCAGGAGGAACACCGGUGGCGAAGGCGGGUCUCUGGGCAGUAACUGACGCUGAGGAGCGAAAGCGUGGGGAGCGAACAGGAUUAGAUACCCUGGUAGUCCACGCCGUAAACGGUGGGUACUAGGUGUGGGUUUCCUUCCUUGGGAUCCGUGCCGUAGCUAACGCAUUAAGUACCCCGCCUGGGGAGUACGGCCGCAAGGCUAAAACUCAAAGGAAUGACGAAGGCG
rnacentral:rRNA from 1 species